UACGUAGGUGGCAAGCGUUGUCCGGAUUUACUGGGUGUAAAGGGCGUGUAGCCGGGUUGACAAGUCAGUUGUGAAAGUUUGCGGCUCAACCGUAAAAUUGCAGUUGAAACUGGCAGUCUUGAGUACAGUAGAGGUGGGCGGAAUUCGUGGUGUAGCGGUGAAAUGCUUAGAUAUCACGAAGAACUCCGAUUGCGAAGGCAGCUCACUGGACUGCAACUGACACUGAGGCUCGAAAGUGUGGGUAUCAAACAGG
rnacentral:rRNA from 1 species